CAGAACACGCAAAGCGCAACGCGAGUGACCACGCUGGAGGCGCAAAGCAUGGAAGUGAAGGUGGUCAAAAGAGAGGUGCUGGAUUGGAGCUCCCCUUUACAAAGAUAAUAAAAGGGUCAGAAGAAUUUGGCAAAAAAAUGGCAGAUAAAGGAGUUGAAGUAGUAGAAGAUUUUUUUGGACUUUUCAACGUGUAAGAAAUGUAUCGCCAUACAAAGUACUCAU